UAGCAGCACAUAAUGGUUUGUGAGUUGUAUGGAGAUACAGGCCAUGUUGUGCUGCCAUA
rnacentral:pre_miRNA from 1 species